rnacentral:rRNA from 1 species
GCCCGGAACUCGGCAAAUUGACACCGUAACUUCGGAAGAAGGUGUGCCCUGGUAGGUUGUAGCCGUACAGGCGAAGGCCGAAGGGGUUGCAAAAAAUCGGUGGCUGCGACUGUUUAAUAAAAACACAGCACUCUGCAAAGAUGAUGAAUCGACGUAUAGGGUGUGACGCCUGCCCGGUGCCGGAAGGUUAAAUGAUGGGGUGCAAGCUCUUGAUUGAAGCCCCGGUAAACGGCGGCCGUAACGAUAACGGUCCUAAGGUAGCGAAAUUCCUUGUCGGGUAAGUUCCGACCUGCACGAAUGGCGUAACGAUGGCCACACUGUCUCCUCCUGAGACUCAGCGAAGUUGAAGUGUUUGUGAUGAUGCAAUCUACCCGCGGCUAGACGGAAAGACCCCGUGCACCUUUACUGUAGCUUUGCAUUGGACUGUGAUGGGAUCUGUGUAGGAUAGGUGGGAGCCUGUGAAGCGGUGGCGCUAGCCAUCGUGGAGGCGACGUUGAAAUACCACCCUGAUGUCAUUGCGGUUCUAACCUUGGCCCCUAUAGCGGGGUUGGGGACAGUGCAUGGUAGGCAGUUUGACUGGGGCGGUCUCCUCCCAAAGAGUAACGGAGGAGCUCGAAGGUACGCUAGGUACGGUCGGACAUCGUGCUGAUAGUGCAAUGGCACAAGCGUGCUUGACUGCGAGACUGACAAGUCGAGCAGGUGCGAAAGCAGGACAUAGUGAUCCGGUGGUUCUGAAUGGAAGGGCCAUCGCUCAACGGAUAAAAGGUACGCCGGGGAUAACAGGCUGAUUCCUCCCAAGAGUUCAUAUCGACGGGGGAGUUUGGCACCUCGAUGUCGGCUCAUCACAUCCUGGGGCUGUAGCCGGUCCCAAGGGUAUGGCUGUUCGCCAUUUAAAGUGGUACGUGAGCUGGGUUUAAAACGUCGUGAGACAGUUUGGUCCCUAUCUGCCGUGGGCGUUGGACGUUUGAGGGGGGCUGCUCCUAGUACGAGAGGACCGGAGUGGACGAACCUCUGGUGUACCGGUUAUCACGCCAGUGGUAUUGCCGGGUAGCUAAGUUCGGGAGAGAUAAGCGCUGAAAGCAUCUAAGUGCGAAACUUGCCCCAAGAUGAGACGUCCCUGGAGGUUAACUCCACUAAAGGGUCGCGGAAGACCACCGCGUCGAUAGGUCGGGUGUGGAAGCGCAGUAAUGCGUUAAGCUAACCGAUACUAAUUGCCCGUGCGGCUUGAUCCC